rnacentral:rRNA from 1 species
GACAGAGGGUGCGAGCGUUAAUCGGAAUUACUGGGCGUAAAGCGCGCGUAGGCGGUUAUGUAAGUUGGAUGUGAAAUCCCCGGGCUUAACCUGGGCACUGCAUUCAAAACUGCAUAGCUAGAGUAUGGGAGAGGAAGGUAGAAUUCCAGGUGUAGCGGUGAAAUGCGUAGAGAUCUGGAGGAAUACCGAUGGCGAAGGCAGCCUUCUGGCCUAAUACUGACGCUGAGGUGCGAAAGCAUGGGGAGCAAACAGG